AUGCUCGCUUCGGCAGCACAUAGACUAAAAUUGGAACGAUACAGAGAAGAUUAGCAUGGUCCCUGCGCAAAGAUGACAUGCAAAUUCGUGAAGUGUUCCAUAUUUAA
rnacentral:snRNA from 1 species